rnacentral:snRNA from 1 species
AUACUUCCCUGUCAGGGGAAGGGUGAAGCCUAUUUAUGCUCUUGGGAUGUGCUGACCCAUGUGGUUUCGCCAAAUUUGGGAGACUUGACGGCAUAAUUUGUCACAGUGGGGGGGACUGCAUUUGAGCUUUCCUCUG